AGAGCCUACCCUAUUUAUUCCCAGCAUGGACCUAAAUCCACUUCAGCCAAAAAUGAACAAAGAAAUGAUGAAGAACAGAGCCUGUUUCUUUCUCAGUGGUGUACUCAGAAAAUGGAUGCAAGAGUAGAAGCUGAUCCUCGAGGCUUGCAAAAGUGGGGUUCUUUCUGAAAGUGAAGCCAGCAGCCAAGAGCCACCCUUCAGAAGAUAGAAGGAAGAGCAGCUGCAUGAGUGAUGGCCACAGCAAUGCAUGGGUCCUGUCUGUCCACGUAGUCCUCUCCAUCUGCCCGUAGCUUGCCAGGAAACUUUCUAUAAUAAUACCAAUACAACCAAAGACUAUUAUUCUGAACAGAAAACAAGAAAUACAGCUGGAGCUAUUUCCUAUCUACCUGAUGAAGGGCACUACCAGGCGGUCACUCUGGCUCUGUCCACCGAUGCCUGUGCCCACUUUGUGCGACGUAGCUUCCAUGGAGACAAGAGCAAUGUUGCCCAUAAAGUUGUCAGAUUGACUUUGGAUUUAAAGCCUGAAAAUGAGUCCCAAGGAAAUCCGUUGACAUGAGGCCCAAGGAAGACAGUUUUUGGAAGGGGCAAGGAGGGACAGUUCUCUGCUCCACUGAAGCUAGGUAUGGCCAUGUGACCCAUGUUGCCAGUGAAACAGGAGGAGAAGGGACAUCUGGGUGGAAACAUUUAAGAGUCAAGUGUAUUUCUCCAUACUCUCUUUCUUUGGCUUUGGCAGUGAUGAAGGUCAAUCCAAUUACAGUUGAUUCUUGAACAACAGAGGUUUGAACUGUGUGGGUCAACCUAUACGUGGAUUUUCUUCUGCCUCUGCCACCUCUGAGACAGCAAGACCAAUCCUUCCUUUUCCUCCUUCUCCUCAGCCUAUACAAUGUAAAAAUGACAAGGAUGAAGACCUUUAUGAUGAUUCACGUCCACUUAAUGAACAGUAAAUAUAUUUUCUCUUCCUUAUGAUUUUCUUAAUAACAUUUUCUUUUCUCUACUUGUUUUAUUCUAAGCAUACAGUAUAUAAUACAUAUAUGAUAUGGUUUGGCUGUGUCCCCAUUCAAAUUUCAACUUGAAUUGUAUCUCCCAGAAUUCCCACCUGUUGUGGGAGGGACCCAAGGGGAGGUAAUUGAAUCAGGGGGCCAGCUUUUCCCUGCUAUUCUCCUGAUAGUGAAUAAGUCUCAUGAGAUCUGGUGGGUUUAUCAUGAGUUUCCACUUUGCUUCUUCCUCAUUUUCUCCUGCUGCUGUGAUGUAAGACGUACCUUUCACUUCCCACCAUGAUUCUGAGGCCUCCCGAGCCAUGUGGAACUGUAAGUGCAAUUAAACCUCUUUUUCUUCCCAGUCUUGGGUAUGUCUUUAUCAGCAGUGUGAAAAUGGACUAAUACAGUAAAUAGGUACCAGUAGAGUGGGGCAUUGCUGAAAAGAUAUCUGAAAAUGUGGAAGCAACUUUUGAACUGGGUAACAGGCAGAGGUUGGAAGAGUUUGGAGGGCUCAGAAGAAGACAGGAAAAUGUGGGAAAGUUUGGAACUUCUAGAGAUUUGUUGAAUGGCUUUGACAAAAAUGCUGAUAGUGAUAUGAAAAAUAAGGUCCAGGCUGAGGUGGUCUCAGAUUGAGAUGAGGAACUUGUUGAGAACUGGAGUAAAGGUGACUCUUGUUAUGUUUUAGCAAAGAGACUGGUGGAAUUUUGCCCUGCCCUAGAAAUUUGUGGAACUUUGAACUUGAGAAAGAUGAUUUAGGGUAUCCGGUGGAAGACAUUUCUAAGUGGAAAAGCAUUCAAGAGGUGACUUGGGUACUGUUAAAAGAAUUACAUUUUAAAAGGGAAACAGAGCAUAAAAUUACAGAAAAUUUGCAGCCUGAUGAUGCAGUAGAAAAGAAAAACCCAUUUUUUGAGGAGAAAUUCAAGCUGGCUGCAGAAAUUUGCAUAAGAAGCAAGGAGCCUAAUGUUAAUCUCCAAGACCAUGGGGAAAAUGUCUCCAGGCGGUGUCAGAGACCUUCAUGGGAGCCCCUCCCAUUAUGGGCCUUGAGGCCCAGGAGGAAAAAGUGGUUUCAUGGGCUGGGCCCAGGGUCCCUGUGCUGUGUGCAGCCUAGGGACUUGAUGCUCUGUGCUUCAGCUGCUCCAGCCAUGCUGAAAGGGGCUGAUGUACAGAUUGGACUGUGGCUUCAGAGGGUAGAAGGCGCAAACCUUGACAGCUUCCAUGUGGUGUUGAGCCUGCGGGUGCACAGAAGUCAAGAACUGAUGUUUGGGAACCUCUGCUUAGAUUUCAGAAGAUGUAUGGAAAUGCCUGGGUGCCCAGGCAAAAGUUUGCUUCAGGGGUGGGGCCCUCAUGAAGAACCUCUGCUAGGGCAGUGCAGAAAGGAAAUGUGGGGUCAGAGCCCCCAUACAGAGUCCCUACUGGGGCACUCCCUAGUGGAGCUGUGAGAAGAGGCCCACCAUCCUCCAGACCCCAGAAUAGUAGAUCCAAUGACAGCUUGCACUGUGUGUACUGUGUGCACUGUGUGCCUGGAAAAGCUGAAGACACUCAACGCCAGCCUGUGAAAGCACCUGGGAGGGAAGCUGUACCCCACAAAGCCACAGGGGCGGAGAUGACUAAGACCAUGGGAACCCACCUAUUGCAUCAGCAUGACCUGGAUGUGAGACCUGGACUCAAAGGAGAUCAUUUUGGAGCUUUAAAAUUUGACUGCCUCGCUGGGUUUUGGACUUGCAUGGGCCCUGUAACCCCUUUAGUUUGGCCAAUUUCUCCCAUUUGGAACAGCUGUAUUUACCCAAUGUCUGUACCCCCCAUUGUAUCUAGGAAGUAACUAGCUUGCUUUUGAUUUUACAGGCUCAUAGGUGGAAGGGACUUGCCUUGUCUCAGAUGAGACUUUGGAUUGUGGACUUUUGGGUUAAUGCUGAAAUGAGUUAAGACUUUGGGGUCUGUUGGGAAGGCAUAAUUGGUUUUGAAAUAUGAGGACAUGAGACUUGGAGGGGCCAGGGGCGGAAUGAUGUGGUUUGGCUGUAUCCUCAUCUCAACUUGAAUUUUGUCUCCUAGAAUUCCCAUGUGUUGUGGGAGGGACCCAGGGAGAGGCAAUUGAAUCAUGGGGGCCAGUCUUUCCCCUGCUAUUCUCAUGAUAGUGAAUAAAUCUCGUGAGAUCUGAUGGGUUUAUCAGGGGUUUCCACUUUUGCUUCUUCCUCAUUUUCUUUUUCUGCCACAAUGUAAGAAGUGCCUUUAGCCUCCUGCCAUGAUUCUGAGGCCUCUCCAGCCAUGUGGAACUGUAAGUCCAAUUAAAUCUCUUUUUCUUCCCAGUCUCAGGUAUGUCUUUAUCAGCAGUGUGAAACUAAUACAGUAUAUAAUAUACAAAAUAUGUGUUAAUUGACUGUUUAUGUUAUUGGGAAGGCUUCUGGUCAACAGUAGGCUAUUGGUAGUUAAAUUUUUGGGAAGUCAAAAGUUAUAUGUAGAUUUUUGACUGCAUGGGGGUUGAUGCCCCUAACUUCUGCAUUCUUCAAGGGUCAACUGUAGUUUACUUUUUGAGAGUUAAAAAAUUAUCUAACCAACUUAUAAAUCACCAAUCACAUCUUGCCAUUAAUUAUCAACAAUCUCCUUUAAGAUAAAGUAUAUAUGCCAAUGUAGUGUAAAAGAACUGAAAUUUUGAUGCUUACAGCACUUGGCUCGUGCAUUUGUAUCAAAAUUUGCCUGACUUUUUAUGAGGGAGGCCUGCUUUUCACACCUCAGUUUAUUUAAUACGAGGCAAGUUGAAAGACAACACUCAUUCUAGGUGAUUCUGUGGUGCCAUGAAAUUUAAGAUAAUUUGGGAAAAAGGAUUAGUCAGUUUUAAGCAAGAGUCACAUCUUCUGAGCUUUUGAUUAUCAGUGUAGUACCUGAC
rnacentral:lncRNA from 10 species